CAGCUGGAACACCUGCUGCCAGUCCAAGGUUUCGGCCUACAGGAGAGGAGUUUCCAUCCUCAGGGACAUCAUUCAUUGAACUCACUCACCUGCUGGCUCUGUAACCUGCAGACGGAUGGUUCUGAUUGGCUCAGAGUCGAUGACGGCUCUCUUUUUACGUCUGA